rfam:Triticum aestivum genome assembly, contig: Triticum_aestivum_CS42_TGACv1_scaffold_404729_5BL
UUCAUACUUCCUCCGUCCGGAUAUACUUGUCAUCAAAAUGAAUAAAAGGAGAUGUAUCUAGACGUAUUUUAGUUGUAAAUACAUCCCUUUUUAUCCAUUUUGAUGACAAGUAUUUUCGGACGGAGGGAGUAUUAG